AUCAAUGUUUUUUUUUAAUCUGUUUCAUUUUUUUUGUUGUAUGAAAAAUAAAAUGACAGCAUCAAGAAUUAUUACCACCCCCGCAUGAAUCUGAAUGUUUCAUUUGUUUUUGAAAUUAACUAGAAACAAAGUUUGAAAAAUUUGAAUUUCAAAAAAAAGUUUUUUUUUUUUUAAUUUUUUUUCAUCCCAUUUAUAUAAAAUUAGGUUUUAAUCCUUUCAAACACCCAUCUCAUACAUUUGUUUUUUUUUAUUUUGGCUUUUCAAACAAAACGAUCAAAACUCACGUAACCUAUUCAAAACGUAACAACAACAACAAAAAAAACGAGCAUUGUACAAAUAACAUGGAUUCUAACAAUUAAACCGACAACAAUGGUGAUGAUGGAUCAUGAUAAUGACCACGACGGCGUAAAGAAAUUACAGGCGCCACACACACACAUGAAUUGCCUGCUUGUGAUAGAGGGAGCCUUUUUUUAUUGAAUCAUCAUUUUUUUAGCAUUCAUACCACCUUCCUAUUUUAUACUGUUUUUUUUUCAAAAAUGCUACUUCCAUGGAUCUUUUUAUUUCUCACUAACACUAACACCACCACCACCACCAUGACUUUUUGAUAUAUUUUUUUCAUCAUCAUCAUGUCUAUGUCUACUUGAUUGGGAUUAUAACUUCCAUCUGCUUUUCUUUUGGUUGUCCUGAAGAGAUGAAAAAAAAAACAUUUGACAUGUCAAUCGAACACAGUGAUCAUCAAACAUUGAGCUUUUGGUCCGAUAAUGAACAACAAAAUGACAACUUCUAUGAAAUUCAUCUUUUACCGGUCAUACAUACAUGAAUAGUUUGAAAACCACUGUAAAUAUAAAUUAAUUUUGUUCACAGAGAGAGAGAGACAACCAGACAAAUAUCAACAGCAACACACAAACACACGAAACAUAAAUGAAAGAACCCGCCCUGUAUAUGAUGUUUUCCUUUUCCAUUCUAAUCUUAAAUGUUAUUAUUAUUAUUAUAUUAUGUACCACACACAUGAAUACAAAUUUUUUUUUUGUAGC